ACCUGCAUCCGCAAGAGUUGUAAUGAUGUAAACGUGCCGCAGAGAAAAGAAAAGUGCUGAACCUGGUGCAUGGAAUGCGUUGAAAUCAAUUACAAAGAUGCAUCUAACAUGCAGGUAUUCGUGACUACAGCAAGUGGAAACGAAAAUCUGGUAUUGUUGUCUGGAAAGCACUAAUCGUCGCUUCCUUCUGUCUACCAGCAGCAGGUUGCAAGCAUAGCCUGCGGCUAACGGUCAAAUGCCAAAUGAUGGUCACUUUGACACAUCUGGUUACCGGCUGUCCGAGGGUCCUGACGAUGUGUGAUUCCCGCAAUAAAACGAUCACGUGCAAUUUCUAACAGCCUUACCACUCGCGUCUGGACAGAAAUGCAGCUGCAGACGUGCCCCGUGAUUAUAAUAUCGACUAACCGAGGGUAAAUUGUGAAACACAGAACUGACUUUGCUAAAACCCUGUUUAAUGUUAACGCAAUGAUUAUUAGAAAUGAUAAUCACAUUUCUGUGUUCACUACGAUUCGUCACAGAAACGUACAUCUAAAGAAAAUUUCAUUUUCAGAAAAGAGAAAAUAUUUUCUUCAGUUUACAUUUCAUUUUAUUUCACUUCUUUUCAUAGUUAAUUCGAUACGGUUAAAUCGUAAGAGAACUUCUAUAAAUUUUUUUAAUCGUAAAGAAAAUGUGAGUAUAUAUUAACUCUGAAUCCUUUUUGUAGAAUAAUAGAGUGAAAAAUGCAGAAACAAAAUACUAAAAUUAUGUACUAAAUAGUUCGUGACAAGAGAAACCUCUUAAAAUGUUUUUAGUAUUUUGCAUUUGAAUUUGUCUCUAUCAUAAAUGCAUAAAAUCCAUAGUGUAGUUAUAAGGUAUUUCGAAUGUUAGUGUUAAGAUGAUAUAACCCUUAUCACUCCAAGAAUUUUACAAAGUAAUUUGUAACCAACUCUAGACAAAUUAGAAAUAAUAAAACUAAAUUAAAUAUUUUACUUGAAAAUGACGGCAGAUAUAAUAUUUCCACAGGUACGAUGUGCUUACAGUGAACUAAACGCGAUAAUCAUACACCACUGCGAAAUUCUGGCAGUGACACUGUCGGUUGGAGUAGAACGCUGCGUAAAGCUUGACAGUAUUGCUGCCGUUUAGAGUGAUAAGGGAUAAGUUUUCGCAUAAUUUUUCAUUCUUCCAAUUGCCAUUGUUCUUUCCUGUCAAAUUAAUUCCCUGUCAUCGAAAGAUGAAAAUGAAAAAAUAAAAUGGUGCAAUAUAUUUAAACAAAAAUGAUUCACGUUAUUAAAAACUAAUUAAACAACCUACAGUACACACUAUUUGUUUAGAGACAUUGAUAAAAUGUGUAAAAAUUUAUAGGUAACAUAUUGCGAGUUACUGUUAACGAGUAAACUAAAAACUAACGUACUCAUGUGCUAGAAUAUAUUAAAUAGGAGAGUAUGCGUAAUUAAAUAUUACAUGGUUAAUAAGCAGAAGGAGGAAAACGUUAUUAGUUUUCUAGACCAAUAUACAGGGAGUCGUAUAAUUACUCCUUGUAUUCUCAUGAGUGCACUAAAUUCAGUUUCUGGGUUACCAGAGUAGGAUGAAAUGUUAUCCAGUGGUAAGAAUUAUGCAGUUCUGUAAUGCGAGGACAGAUUAAACUAAUCCUGUAAUUAAUAACAGAUGCGCAUUGUAAAUGUCAUUUUAAACGCAGAUAAAUUACUGAAGAAAUUAAACAAAGAGACUCUCUUUGUUACAAAUUCUUCA